GAUCAACGCUGGCGGCGUGCAUGAGACAUGCAAGUCGAACGGACACUCACGGGCUUGCCUGUGAGUGUUAGUGGCGGACGGCUGAGUAACGCGUAGGUGACCUGCCCCGAAGUGGGGAAUAACUGCCCGAAAGGGUGGCUAAUACCGCAUGUGGUGAUGCGUUCAGACGCAUCAGUAAAGCCGCAAGGCGCUUCGGGGAGGGGCCUGCGUCCGAUUAGCNCGUUGGUGAGGUAACGGCUCACCAAGGCGACGAUCGGUAGGUGGUCUGAGAGGACGAUCACCCAGACUGGGACUGAGACACGGCCCAGACUCCUACGGGAGGCAGCAGUCGGGAAUUUUGCGCAAUGGACGAAAGUCUGACGCAGCAACGCCGCGUGAGGGAUGACGGCCU
rnacentral:rRNA from 1 species